AACCAUAGAAACCUGCGGAGUACCUGCGGAGGGAUCAUUAUAGUAUAUGGAAUCUCCAUUCUAUAAACCCACUCUGCGUAUCUUGUAACUGUUGCUUCCAUGGGACUUGGUUCCGCCACACCGGCUUCACGGCUGGUGAGCGCCCAUGGAAGGAGAAACAAAACUCUUCUUUGAAAUGUAGUCAGUCUGAACAAGUUUUUAUAAACGUUAAAACUUUUAGCAAUGGAUCUCAGAUCGGAA
rnacentral:misc_RNA from 1 species